CUGAAUGUUAAUUUUAUAUUUUGCAGGAGUUGAGAAGGAAAGAGGAUGCAAUAGCACGAGGUGACCGAGAUUCCGUUUAACAAUUUUCUUUAUUGCUGGAACAAGUCUUAACCAAGAUCAAGAUCAAAGUACUUCACUAAGUUAUAUAUGCAGGCAUUGCAAUACUUUGGCUUCAUCUAAAGCUUGAACCAACCCUCUGUUGUAUAUUGUUUCUUCUUCUUUUCUGAUCUUUUUCCUUUGAUUAAUGAGAUGUGAUGAUGAUUUGGCAUUAUUUUCUCACCAGGAUGAAUUAUGUUUUAGAAAUUCUAAUACUUUGUGUGUCUCUGUGUGUGUGUUUUUUUUAUGUAUUAAAUUACAUAUUGAAUCAAUAUUUAUGUAUUAAAUUUAAAUUCAUUAAUUUUUAUA